rnacentral:rRNA from 1 species
CGGAGGGUGCAAGCGUUAUCCGGAUUUAUUGGGUUUAAAGGGUCCGUAGGCGGACUUAUAAGUCAGUGGUGAAGCCUGUCGCUUAACGAUAGAACUGCCAUUGAUACUGUAAGUCUUGAGUAUAUUUGAGGUAGCUGGAAUAAGUAGUGUAGCGGUGAGAUGCAUAGAUAUUACUUAGAACACCAAUUGCGAAGGCAGGUUACCAAGAUAUAACUGACGCUGAGGGACGAAAGCGUGGGGGAGCGAACAGGAUU